AUACGUAUGGUGCGAGCGUUGUCCGGAAUUACUGGGCGUAAAGAGCUCGUAGGUGGUUUGUCGCGUCGUCUGUGAAAUUCCGGGGCUUAACUCCGGGCGUGCAGGCGAUACGGGCAUAACUUGAGUACUGUAGGGGAGACUGGAAUUCCUGGUGUAGCGGUGAAAUGCGCAGAUAUCAGGAGGAACACCGGUGGCGAAGGCGGGUCUCUGGGCAGUAACUGACGCUGAGGAGCGAAAGCAUGGGUAGCGAACAGGAUUAGAUACCCUGGUAGUCCAUGCCGUAAACGGUGGGCGCUAGGUGUAGGGGUCUUCCACGACUUCUGUGCCGUAGCUAACGCAUUAAGCGCCCCGCCUGGGGAGUACGGCCGCAAGGCUAAAACUCAAAGGAAUUGACGGGG
rnacentral:rRNA from 1 species